rnacentral:rRNA from 1 species
ACAUAAAACGUCUAAACGCAAACGUAACGAUACAGUAAACCCUCAAAGAGUAUCUUGUUCGGGCCAAUGUAUUCUACUCGUGUCCUAAGUCGCGUCUCUAGAAACACGUCUUCGAACGCUUCGAAUUAUAACGUGUUGUCUCAUAUCUCUGAAAUAGUGUGACCACGUAGAAGGUAGUAGCAACAACGGUCCUUCAACAACGGUAUACCUUAUUUCUAAAAGUGAGUCGAGGAGUUCUCUCUUUCUAUAGAAACGACAUGGAACGUUUACUAUAAUACGUCUUAUCAUUCUUCCUACCGUACUCUAUAUAUGUACUCAAGAACUUCCAGUAGCGACGACGGAAUCUACUGGACAAGUGGUUACCACUACUAAAACCUGCUUUACAACAUUUUUCUGACCAACUGUAUACCCUUCUAGCGUUCAACAAACCGUGGGUUCCUGUUGAGGAUUUCCUUCUUAUGUGGGCGUUUAAAUUCCUCGAUUUCAGUUUUUUUGGUCCACCUCUCGACCACCUCUUCCAAUAUAGCUCGAUGUUCGUAUACGACGCCCGUGGACAUCUACUCCGGUUCAACUACUCUCUUACGUUGUCACGAGAUUCGAAACAACUGUUGGACUUGUUUCUCAUGCCUUUAAGCAUGAAUCCCUCGUCGUUACCUAUAUCGAAACACCUCCUCGACUUCCUUGUUGUAUCAUAAGACUCUUUGUGGUAACUUGCUAAGUUUUACAGACUUAGUGAGUCCCGGUGAGACCAUAGACUAAACUUCCUUCGUGAGGUACUCGUCUCAUUAUCUUUACGAAAUGUUGCAUUUGUGUAGUUACGUCGAGUCCAGUCUAUAUCCUUUCGACUACUGGAGACGGUCUUCGAGCCUUAUCUACAUGGUUCCGUGCUCGGUAGAUUACCCCAAAGUCGAUUACGAUUAAGACAGCUCUUCCCUGCCAGCUGACGUCACUACAUAAGUGCCCUUCCUCUACCUCCACUCGGACUCUGGGAGUUGCCGCCAAAAAGAAGUGCUCGGUGGUCCCUGUUGAAACUCGUCUUUUAUCUUCCCGUGGGAGGACAAUGAUUCUCCGUCUUCUAUCUCUUACCAUAUAGACAAGGAGUCGGACUUCGUGGGGGUGGCGGUGGGGGUGAGGGCAUAGGACUAUGUAAACUUGUAGGUGGUGGUGGCGGAGUCAUAGGAGGUAGUGGUCUCAGAUCGGGUGGUGGUGAAGGUGGAAGUUACGGCGGGGGUUAGGGUGGUGGUGGUGGUGGAAGAUGUCUACGUAAAUACGGUCAAGGACGAGAAGGUUACCCUCCUUACGGUAUAAAGGGUGGCAAAGGAGGUGGACAUUUGAUAGGGUACUAGUUGUACGGUGGCGGAAAGGGACCACGGGGUUUGGGAGGAGUGGGUCCAAAGGAACCUAAACCCCCAGGGAAGAUACCGGGCGGAAAGGGGAGCCGGGGGGUGGUUACU